GAAUGUGUGUUUACAAUAAGGAAUCCAAAGAGAAUGCUGUACUUUAUUAGGGCAGCCUCUCACGCUAUACUGCCGACAAUGGUGUAGAUUCACGCCGUAAUUAUUAUGUAAUUCUCAAAGAAAUGUUAAGAAGGGUAUCACAUAAGGAAGAACAAGGCUUGUAUGCUACUUUCAGCGAUGCUGGUGUCAGUCCUCCAGCUGCACAUGGUCAGUGUAAUACAAGAGCAGAACAGGGGAGACAUUGUGUCGACUCUCUCUUAUGGGGGUGUGUGGUAACUGAGGAUCUAGGAAGAAACGAAAUUGGAAAGGUCCUAAGCCAAAUCCCUGAAGAUCACAUGUGCAGCGCGCAGGAAUUGAUAUGAAUGAAGGAAUAAACACAAAGACAAACUAUUUCCAAUACCAAAAUGAGGUUUACAGACCACAGAAUAUUUCUUUAAUCUAACCAAUAACACCACACUGAGAGAGGUUUCCUGCUAGGACUGAUGUACGUUCAUUCUAGAAUUGCCAUAUGACUGAACUGCACUGUCAUUUAGUAUUCAGGGUUUUACUCUGCUGUACCAAAGCAGGCGUUAAAUGAAAGCAUUCCUGCACAUAGCUGGUUUAGUGUAUGAAUCAGAGCCUGCCUUUCCAGUAUCCUGUAUUCCUGUUAACUUAAGUCAAGUUCCUUGGCACAAAGCAAGUGAAGUUCAAUGCGUGUACUUCACUUUAAGUGAAAACUUUUCCAUGAGACAUUACUGGACUAGUUUUUAACCACAACUGGCUGAAUUUUAGACAUGAAAGAGGGACCUUUUGUCCCAUAUAUGCUUUUCUUGAUCUGUUAAUCUCUAAAUAUUUAAACAUUAUUUUGUGGAUCAUCCUUCCAGAACAAAUUUACACAUUCCUGACACCCUAUAAAAUGUUUCCAGUGGAAUUUGAUGAAUGUUUAUUUACUACCAUUUAUAAGAUAAUAAUAUUUAGAUUACUCUGUCCUGCACUAAAAAUCAUUUAAGAAUAAGACAAUAAUUUUCAUUCUGAAUACUAUUACUGUGUUUUGCCUUAAGAGCUGUGUGUGCUGUUCCCUUUAUGGGGAUAUUGUACAUUCCAAACAUUUGUGAUUUUUGGAAAGGAUGUCAAAAUAAAUGUAAGAGUGGCUGGACAGAAGUUUUAGACAGAACUAAUAUCCACUCCAUUUUUUCUGUAUCUGGCAGGCUACGUGUGUUCCAGCUGAAUUAUCAAGAGCUGUGGUAUUUUUAAAAGUGAAUUUCCCGUCUAGGUCUAUGUUUAAACCGUCUUUCCCAGUGGGUCAUCCUGCAAAGGAUUGUUUUGUCUGAGCACUUGAUGUAAAAAAUGCAUAAUGUCUUUUUGAGU
rnacentral:lncRNA from 1 species